CCUACGGGUGGCAGCAGUGGGGGAUAUUGCACAAUGGGGGAAACCCUGAUGCAGCGACGCCGCGUGGGUGAAGAAGUAUUUCGGUAUGUAAAGCCCUAUCAGCAGGGAAGAAAGAAGACGGUACCUGACUAAGAAGCCCCGGCUAACUACGUGCCAGCAGCCGCGGUAAUACGUAGGGGGCGAGCGUUAUCCGGAUUCACUGGGUGUAAAGGGAGCGUAGACGGGCGUGCAAGCCAGGAGUGAAAGCCCGGGGCCCAACCCCGGGACUGCUCUUGGAACUGUGCGGCUGGAGUGCGGGAGGGGCAGGCGGAAUUCCUGGUGUAGCGGUGAAAUGCGUAGAUAUCAGGAGGAACACCGGCGGCGAAGGCGGCCUGCUGGACCGCGACUGACGUUGAGGCUCGAAAGCGUGGGGAGCGAACAGGAUUAGAUACCCUAGUAGUC
rnacentral:rRNA from 1 species